rnacentral:rRNA from 1 species
GACAGAGGGUGCAAACGUUGCUCGGAAUCACUGGGCGUAAAGGGCGUGUAGGCGGGAAGGAAAGUCAGAUGUGAAAUCCCUGGGCUCAACCCAGGAACUGCAUUUGAAACUCCCUUUCUUGAGUGCCGGAGAGGAAGGCGGAAUUCCUGGUGUAGAGGUGAAAUUCGUAGAUAUCAGGAGGAACACCGGUGGCGAAGGCGGCUUUCUGGACGACAACUGACGCUGAGACGCGAAAGCGUGGGGAGCAAACAGG